GAACGCUGGCAGCGUGCCUAAUACAUGCAAGAUGAGCGAACAGAGAAGGAGCUUGCUCCUUCGACGUUAGCGGCGGACGGGUGAGUAACACGUGGGCAACCUACCCUAUAGUUUGGGAUAACUCCGGGAAACCGGGGCUAAUACCGAAUAAUUUGUUUCACCUCAUGGUGAAACACUGAAAGACGGUUUCGGCUGUCGCUAUAGGAUGGGCCCGCGGCGCAUUAGCUAGUUGGUGAGGUAACGGCUCACCAAGGCGACGAUGCGUAGCCGACCUGAGAGGGUGAUCGGCCACACUGGGACUGAGACACGGCCCAGACUCCUACGGGAGGCAGCAGUAGGGAAUCUUCCACAAUGGGCGAAAGCCUGUCGGAGCCACGCCGCGUGAGUGAAGAAGGAUUUCGGUUCGUAAAACUCUGUUGUAAGGGAAGCAACAAGUACAGUAGUGACUGGCUGAACCUUGACGGUACCUUAUUAGAAAGCA
rnacentral:rRNA from 1 species